rnacentral:rRNA from 1 species
GACGAACGCUGGCGGCGUGCUUAACACAUGCAAGUCGAACGGAAAGGCCCUGCUUUUGUGGGGUGCUCGAGUGGCGAACGGGUGAGUAACACGCGAGUAACCUGCCCUUGACUUUGGGAUAACUUCAGGAAACUGGGGCUAAUACCGGAUAGGAGCUCCUGCUGCAUGGUGGGGGUUGGAAAGUUUCGGCGGUAGGGGAUGGACUCGCGGCUUAUCAGCUUGUUGGUGGGGUAGUGGCUUCCCAAGGGUUUGACGGGUAGCCGGCCUGAGGGGUUGACCGGCGACAUGGGGACUGAGGUACGGCGCAGACUGGUACGGGAGGCAGCAGGGGAGAAUAUUGCGCAGUGGGCGGAAGCCAGUGGCAGCAACGCCGCGUGCGGGAUGACGGGCUUCGAGGGGUAAACCGCUUUCGCCUGUGACGAAGCGGGAGUGACGGUAAUGGGUAAAGAAGCACCGGCUAACUACGUG